rnacentral:rRNA from 1 species
UACGUAGGUCGCAAGCGUUGUCCGGAUUUACUGGGCGUAAAGAGCGCGCAGGCGGCUGGUCAAGUCCGAUGUGAAAUCUCCCGGCUCAACUGGGAAACUGCAUCGGAAACUGAUCGGCUUGAAGAUGGGAGAGGGUAGUGGAAUUCCCGGUGUAGUGGUGAAAUGCGUAGAUAUCGGGAGGAACACCAGUGGCGAAGGCAACUACCUGGCCCAUUCUUGACGCUGAGGCGCGAAAGCUAGGGGAGCGAACGGG